rnacentral:lncRNA from 1 species
UCCUAUGAAGAUCCUCUGCUAAGAUACUCUGGCUGCCUGUGUUUCACAUCUUGCCACAUGACUGGGAUUCAAAAAUAUAUCUCAGCAGUUUAAAUUAUUUACGCUGCCUCCUAACAAACAAACAACCAGGAAACGGUAAAUAUAGGAACCUAUGCAUUCCCAUAUUUCACCACCACUUUAAACACGGUUUCUCCCAUCUCGGUAAUGGAUUUCGACACUGGUUAUAAUAUGGUAUUUCACAGAGAAAACAUUUUAAAACUUAAAACCCAAAGAAAGCAGGGAUUGAGUAACAAUCAACAAAUCUGUCCUCAUUUUUUCUUUCUUAUUUUAUAUACCUGAGUGGCCUAGCCCUUCUCUCCAAAUCUGAUGAACAGGUUUUCCCUUUGAAGAAUGGUUAUGCAUUCUUUGCCUUAUUUAAUUUCCACCCAGGUAUGUGAAGGUGGUGGUGAAUUACAUGUGUGUUUAGGUGCUAUGGGCUUCCAUAGUAUAUACAAGGGAAUGUGAAAGAGCAGGGCUCUUAAAGGGCCAUACAAUGAAUGAGAAUAUCCCAACCUAAGGAAACUUUGGACGUGUGCGAACAUGUGAGACAUCGUGCUUCAUGCCCUAGGAGAUAAAAAAUAGAUAAGACAUAUUUAGACUCUCCAGGUACAUUAUGGGCUAUAAGUAAUUCCAAAAAGGGGGGGGAAAUGGCUUUUUUUUUUCCCAAAAUGGAAAAAAAAUUAUUACGAAAGUAAUUCACUGCCAUAAAAAGUAAUUUAAAAUAGAAAUGUAUUUAAUGGAGAGAGUGAAAUUCCUACUUCUCCAUCUCUAAUUCCAGAGAUAUAUAUCAUUAAGAAUUUUGUUGAGGAGUUCCCACUGUGCCGAUGGGAUCGACAGUGUUUUGGGAGCACUGGGACACAGGUGCGAUCUGGGCCUGGCACAGUGGGCUGAAGAUCCAGUGUUGCCACAGCUGCAGCCCAGGUGGCAGCCAAAAAAUAAUUUUGUUGAGCCUUUUAGAAUAUUUAUGUAGUGGGAUCAUACAUAUGGUUCUUUAACGUGUAUCAGUACUUACAGUUAUGUGUUUGUUUUACUUCUUACUGGCUGUGUACUAUUCCAUUGUAUGUGUGUAACAUAAUGUCUCUUACUGACAGUUGAAUUCAGUUCUCUGAGUUUUUUUUAAAUUGAAGUAUUAUGAUUUACAAUGCUAUGUUGUUUUUAGAGUUCCCACUGUGGCUCAGGGGGUUAAGAACUUGACAUAGUAUUCAUGAGGAUGCGGAUUCAAUCCCUGGCCUCAUUCAGUGGUUAGGUUCCGGCAUUGCUGCAAGCUGCAGCAUAGGUCACAAACGAGGCUCAGAUCCCACGUUGCUGUGGCUGUGUUGUAGCUCUGAUUAGACCCAUAGCCCAGGAACAUCCAUAUGCCAUAGGUAUGCCCCUAAAAAGAGGGAAAAAAAAAGAGAGAGACAGAGUGUUAUAGUGAACAUUCUUGUUUAUUUAUUUUUCUGCACUUGCUGAACAACUUCUUGGGAAGAUCAUGGAAGUAACAAUGGAAUUUCAGUAGAGCCUGGAGGAUGGAAACUACAAGGUGUACUUGGGGGUCUGUGAAUAGACUUCUUAGGGUAAAGUGCAGAUUUUGUGGUCUCCAUCUUGGGCAAUUGACUCAAUAAAAAAUUAAGACGUGGGGGAAGUUUGCAGGAGAAUAUUAAGUUAUGGCGGUUUAGACAUUUUGAGUUUGCAGAGAUGCCAUGAUACCUAAGAAGAAAUAUCCACAUCUUUCUGGGAAUGGAGGGUGCUGGGUGGCUGGGAACUACCAGAGGCAAGGAGGCAUCAGAGUUUCCAGGAAGCACUGGGAAAGCUCUGACACACAAAAGAGGCCUUAGGAAGGAUGGGUGCCUGACUGUGAGGGAAGUCGGGAGGAACCACAUCCUUAUCUAAAAAACUGGGACAACAAUUCCACCCCUCAGGGUUAGUAUGAGCCCUAAGUGAAAUAAAAGGCAGUUUUCCUACACCGUCAUUUCACUGCAUUAUGAACUUCCUCUGUAGGCCCCGAAUCAUGGUCAUCAAAACAGGGCUCUUGGAGAUGUUCGUUUAUGGAACGAAGACGGUGGGUUACGAAGACCUUUUCAGGGAGCAACUGUGAAGUAACCGAAGGGGGUUGGCUCUGUUUUCUCAGUGAUUCAGUGGAAAAUGAAGAGUUACCUCCAAAGAUGGGAAUCUGGUCUAAAGACUUCAGGGCACUUUCACAUCUGUGGUUACUGAGCUGAAUUUUCCCUUUUAUCUAUUUCAACACCCACCCUCACCCCCACCCAAUUACAGAGACUUGUUUUUGCUUUUAGAGCAGAAAGGAAGGAUGGGACGACACACUCCAAAUAUUUAGUUAGUUGCAAAAGUAUGCAAAAGUGUUAUUUCAAAGCACCUUCAAGUACUGGGUUUCUUGAAAUAAGAAACUCUAUCAUCUUGCUCUGCUGUGUUCCCUUUGGCAGGAACAAUAACCAUCCACUUCAAGGGCAAAACACUCAGCUCUUUGCGGGGAAAGAAUAACAGCCGGAGAGUUGGGAGAGGGAAAUUGCAGGCUCAGCUCUCCCCAUCCAGGUGGGACCACUUCUCUGGGCCUUAUGAUGCUGAUGAGUAAAAUGAGAGGGCUGAGCAUGAAGCCUUUAUGUUUCUUGAGGGUAAGACAUCACAACCUCUUGUCCACAGAUCCCUGGUGAGGUUGAUGGGACAGUAGCAGGAAGCUUGUUUUGUGGAUUUGGAAAUGAAAACCCAAGAGGUGAGUGACUUGGGAACACUGAACAUGAUUUCCCCUCUCAGAGAUGAGACCAGGACUAAUGUCUGCCAGCCGAUUUCUAGCAGGAAACACAAUCUUCUGAAAGAUUCUGAAUUUGGUGGGGAUGGAGACUUCCAGAAAGUCAAGUGUCUGCUUCCUUCAUAUGGACCACUGCCUCCCCCUCUGUGGCAGCCCCUGCUAUUUCUUCCCUGUCACUCCUUCUUUACACUCUUGUUCCAGCCAGACCAGACUACUCUGAGUUCAUCUUACGGCCCCACCUCCUGGUCUUUGCAUCAACUAGAUAUACAUACGUGCAUGUAUGGGUUUUAUUUGGGGCUUGGAAAACUCUUUUCCCCAUUAGUCCUUUUCUCUAGUUAACUCCUCCUCCUUCAGCCUUUUAUUCUGUCUUUUACUUCUUUCUGAUAGCUUUUCCCAACUCUCCCUCCAAACUGUGAUGGAGACCAUUUCUCUGGACUUUCUAAAUUAUUGUGAUGAUGGUAUUUACUCCCAUAUGAUAAGUCCCCAUUAAUUCAUGAAACAGAUGAGAAAUAUACUUGUUGGUUGUCCCAAAAUUGCAAUGGCUUAAAUCAGAUAAAAUCUUUCCUUUCACAUAAUAAGAAAUGUAGAGUUAUGUUCUCCAGAAUUGAUGUGAUAGCUUUAAUGUCAAUAAGGACCCAGGUUCUUUAGAACUUUUUGUUUCAGUAUCCUUAGUAUUGCCUCAUGAUUCCAAGAUGGAAGCUGGAAUGCAAGCCAUUCUAUCAGUAAAGGGGGCAGGAACUAAAAGGAAUGUCUCCAAGAUGAGUCAGCCCCCUUUAUGAAAUUUUCCUCUAAGUUCUACCAAAGAUACCUCCUUGCCUAUCCUUAGCUGGUAAAUAUAGUUCCUUAGCAUCCUGAAAACCACUAAUGCCCUUGGUAAGGUAGAAGGAGAGAGGAGCUGUUUGGUAGGCAUUCGACAUCUCUGCCAUCCGAACUACUCAAGAUGUGGUAGGCAGCCCAUGUCAGUCUGUGAGCAGAUAAGUACAGCAGUGUAAGAGUUUACAAACUUUCCUAGCAACUUGACCUUGCCGUGACGGUGGUAUCUAUCCACAAUGGAUGGACAGUAAAACAAUAACAGCUCAUUCUUUUCCGCAGAGUCUGAGAAGCCCUAUGUGCCACAAGUCCUCUGUCUGCCCCCGGCCACUGCCAGCAUCACGAGGCCAGGUGAGCUUUGUUCUCUAUCGUAUUCAUGGGUUCUGCUACUACGCCUAAUGAAGAGGUGCCUCAUGAACCUUGAGUCAAAAUAAGCAGUGGAUGGAUAUCUUUGUUAACAUCUUGUUCUUGCUUAGCUUACCUGCUCUGAUGUGUCUGAAUUUCUCUCCUCUCCUGUGUCUCUUCAUGACCUCCUUUGCUUGCUUCUUUCUUGCCCUACUGUCAGCAUCUCUCAGUUCCUUCUUUCUCUCCCAACCCUUGAAUGUGUAAACUUCUUAGGCUUCAGCCCUGAGCCCUCUGCCUCUCUCUUUCCACACCCACUCCCCCUGGGCUCACCUACUUCAGCAGCUUUCAGGCUCCUGCGGGAGAACCCCCCCCCCCAGAUCCUGGCCCCAGGCUGAACCUUCUCCUGGCUCCUGCUAUCUUCCAGGUGCUCGCUGGAGUAGGUCCAGAAUUGAAGUCUCUCUUCUCCUCAGUCAGGCUGAUGGCGGGACUCUCCCCAGAAACCACUGGGAUUCAACAUAGAGCCCAGAGGGGCCAAGCUUUGAGCACGAAUAAAUCUGAAUAGUCAUCUUAUAGGAAGUACAAGUAGGGGAUGCAUGGCGCUCCUGUAAGAAAAGAGGCUCCUCACCCUUGGACCAGACAAAGAGGGGGCUCUGCUGCAGGGCCCUGGGAUGGUGGACAAGGCCCUGUUUUGGAAACGAGGGUGUUUUUGUACUGGGGAAGGAGGUGUCAUUAAAGAUACUUCCUCUCUCAAGGAUGAACCUUGGUCACUGUGAGCAACUGCUUUUCCCUAAUUAAUGCAGGACCCACCUGCAGCGAGCUCACUCCCCAGGUCUAUGCAGGAUGGCCCUGGCCUUCUCAGCUUGCUUCACAAUCGAUAGCUCUCCAAAAGAGGCAGCUUUAUUCACUGAAAUCACAGAUCAAUGAGACAAGAUUUGCAUAUGAGCUGAGUAUAUAAAUCCUGGGGUGAAGUAAUAAUUUUUUCCUCUGCUGUCUCCUGAUUUUCCCUCCCUUUCUGCUUCCUCAGUUACUUCUCCCUUCUGAUCUUUCCUCAUUCUCUUCACUGGUAAAGUCCUUUAAUGACUCCUUCUUUCCCACCCCCAGAACCCCCAGGGGCAGGGGGUUGUCUGUACUCACCCAGGCCCUGUGUGUGAUUCUCUGUGAAUCUGCCUCCCUCCAGCCAACCCAGGAUCCUAUGAGCAACUUGAGGGCAGAGAUGAUGUUUCCCUCUGGGUCUCCAGAAUGACCUGGGUAGGGGGUGUGCACUGCCUCAAGGCCCAUACUCAGCACUGUUUAUUGAACCCAUGAGUCUUUGACAACCUCCUCUAUUCCCCUCUUUCUCCCUUCUUCCCUCCUCUCUCUCUCCAAGCCUCCUCUCAUUCACCUUCCUUAAGUGGAAGAUGCCUACAGGUGCCUUGGCAAGGAGGAGCUAGUGUGUAUCAGCACAGUUGGGAUUUCCAUGUGCCAGUGGCCAAGAGGUCACCAAGAGCAAUGAGGAAUCUUUUUCUUGCAUGGCAGUAUGACCUGCUAUCCUGUUACCCCAUAGUCUUCCUCCCUCCCAGGGGACUUGAAAGACUUGAAAAAUAAUGGUGCCCUUCUCUUGAUUGAAAGGUCUGAAAGUGUCUCUUGGAGGCAGAGGCCCCAUUUGACUAAAAUGGUGUUGAGGAAACCCCAGGAACUUGACUGCGAUGGGUCUCUUCAAGAGGUUGUACCCAUAGGCUUCCUUGGUUUCUAUUUUCUCUCGUGACCAAAAAAUUGUAAUGCAUGCCCUGUUUCAAAUCAGAUACAGAUUUGGGGGGUAAUUUUGGCAGCUCUAUCAUGUUUCCAACUCUUAUCACUUUCUUUACUUGCUCUGGGAUAUUGAAAAGUAGCGUUGGCCCAUCUGGGGGUCCUCUUCUCAAUGCAACACUUAGAUUUAAAGAGAAGUCCUCUUUGGAAUAAAAACUGUGUACUGCCAAGACAACUCUGUACAUCAUUAGGGGUGGGUCGAGAUUGGAAAGGAACCUUGGCUCCCAUCUUUUCAUGCUGGCUGGUUGAGAUCAGAGGCUCCAAAGCUUUGUCCUCACAACUUACAACAGUGGUGGCUGCUGGCGUGUUAUGAUAUGCAUAGAAUCUUAUUUGAGUCUUGUGUCAAUGCUCCUGAGGUCAGUUGUAAUCAUGUACCUCAUAGGGAAGAUGAGGGUCCAGAUGUUAUGUAACCUGCCCACAGUUCCAUAGCCAGGGAGCACCUCCUAAGGCUCAAACCCACCUUCCAGUGCUAAAUACCUUUCUCUUCCCAUUGAGCCACAUGGCCCAAGUGUGAGCCACACGGCAGAGUGAUAAUCAUCAGAGGAGUGUGCUUGGCUGCCUUGCUGACAAUGUAGGAAUUACUCUCUGAUGAAGCCCACUUUUCCUGGGGCAGAAAGAAAGCAAAGGAUCUGUAAAAAGCUGAGCUUCCCUGCUUGGCUUCCAAAAAAUGCUACCAGGGCCCACGGACAGGACCACUUUAAAACUGUCUCAGUCUCUCCCCUUCCUGCGCAUGUGGCCUCUCAGCACCGCCCUCCUUCUCCCUCAGGCUCUCUGGCCACCCCAGAGCCCAUUAAUAUCUGUUGUCUUGGUCAAAAAUAUUGUGCAGUUACUCUCCUGUCCCAACCUUUUGCUGAAAAAGAAUCUGGUUAAUUAACAUUGAUUACAAUCCACCAACUGCAAGUAAAAAUCAAUGGCUGGGGUCCCUAAUUUGAAUGCAUUUCUCUCUCCUUAUCUCUUAUGAGAAAGAAAAAGGCAGAAGGGGUGAGAAAGAGAAGAGAUGAGAGGACAGAGUGUGUUUUUCAAGCAGACCACUUUCCAGGGCCCUGGUGAGGGACAUCAGUGAUGCUGCUGGCCUUUAGAUCUUGCCCACUCUCCCUCAGCAUGGCCAUUUUUCAGUGUGACGUCUAAUUGCCACAAAUAGUCACUGUGCCCAUUUGGGCCUUGUUCAUAGCUCCCUGCUUUAUUGAGAGAGGAGCGAUGGUAUUGAUUCUGGAUGGCCGGGGAGAACGCCAGAGAAUAUUAGUAAGGAGCGGAGAGAACACAGUACAUAAACUUUUAUGACGCUAUGUCAAGCUGGAUUGUGAAGACAUAAAUGAAAAGGACAGCACGGUCUGUAAUUACCACAGACGCACAUCUUCCAUCUGCUAGGGAAGGCGGCCCUGGCUGGCCGGGGGCAAGUUGCAGAGGGGAAUGAAUGGUCCAGCUCAUAGGAACGGUGGCCCGUAGUGGUUGCUCCUCGUUGUUGAGAAAGAAUAUAUGGG